rnacentral:lncRNA from 1 species
GACAUUCAAAUCUGGGAGUUCAUAACUACUGCUGGGGACAGAUAACACAUGGAUUUUAUAGUGAAGGGAAGUUUCCUAGAAGCUCAACCACUUCACAAUUAUAUUCGAUGUUUUCUGUUAGUUCAUAAUUAGUUUAUCGCACUCACAUCCCCUUUUCCUUAUUACCAACAAAAAGGAGAAAAAAAAUCCCCCUUUCCCCUUUGAACUUUUCAAUACUGUGUCGCUUUAGCCAAUUUCAACGUUUGAGUUUUUCAGGCAUUCAUUCAUUAGUUUCAUAAUCUGGACAUUCAACAAGGUAAUAAUGCACUUCUUCUUUAUUUGUUUUUUAAUUGGUUGUCUUACUUUGCUGGGUUGAGUAGAAUCUGAAAACUGCAGCUUUUUUCAGGGUUUGAUUCGUAGUGUGCGCAUGGUGGGUUUUGCUGGAAGAUUUGUAUGAACGUAGUUCGGUUGUUUGAAAUAAUUCUGGGUGUACCUUACUAUCAGUCAAUUUGGAUUUGGAUCACCAUCGC